rnacentral:rRNA from 1 species
GUGGGGAAUAUUGGACAAUGGGCGCAAGCCUGAUCCAGCCAUGCCGCGUGAGUGAUGAAGGCCUUAGGGUUGUAAAGCUCUUUCGCCGGUGAAGAUAAUGACGGUAACCGGAGAAGAAGCCCCGGCUAACUUCGUGCCAGCAGCCGCGGUAAUACGAAGGGGGCUAGCGUUGUUCGGAAUCACUGGGCGUAAAGCGCACGUAGGCGGAUUGCUAAGUCAGGGGUGAAAGCCCGAGGCUCAACCUCGGAACUGCCUUUGAUACUGGCAAUCUAGAGUUCGGGAGAGGUGAGUGGAACUCCGAGUGUAGAGGUGAAAUUCGUAGAUAUUCGGAAGAACACCAGUGGCGAAGGCGGCUCACUGGCCCGAUACUGACGCUGAGGUGCGAAAGCGUGGGGAGCAA